CUACUUGAUGCAAUUUUUGGUGA
rnacentral:siRNA from 1 species